ensembl:lncRNA
GCAUGUUUAAAUAAGCGGUUAUAUCCACUUCACACAAACUGCCAUUUAUAUAAAAAUGCUGAUUCGAGUCAUUUACAAAAUUAUAUUGAUAUCAUAUCUCCUCGUAUUAUGCAUUGGCUAUUUUCAUUAGGCUACAGAAGUCAUCCAUAGGAAUAUAAACCAACAUAUCCUAUAAUCAACACAUAAUCAAUGAUAAAACAUUGCUAUUAUAGGCCUAACGUCACCAAUAGUUAUUCUCUCUUUCAAACUCAGAGAUGGGUGAUGGGGCGGGCAUAUUUACUCGUCAGCGUCGCAUCAACCACUGUCUUGGGAAGAGGUGAUGAAUAGUAGCCUACCAAUACCGGGCUACACAAUCUUGCAGUUGGAAAUAAGUGAACAUAUCGCUGUCCACCUGCCUGUCUGAUUACAACGAGGAAAGCGACGUGCACCAUGAAAGGGAUGCAUUGAGGUGAAGGCUCUGGGCUGUGUCUCUUGUCUGAUGUCAACCUGGCUUGACGUUUGUAUGGGUCUUUACCUCCAACCAAAGCAUGGACUGCUUUUCCGAUGAAGAAAAGUCGGCCUAUUAUUGCAUUAUAGCUGACUUCUUAAGGGUUUUGUUAUGGUGGUUGGUUACCAAGGAGAAGCAACCUAAAGCUGAACCAGGUUGUGAGAAGCAGUUUACUGACAACACAUUCUUGGGUGUCUUGAAUAAGGCGGCUCCUUUUUAAGCUCCUGAUUUACUGGAACACCGUGUCACUAUGUUGUUCUUCUGUGCUGUGGAGGUUAAUCUUAUUUCUGGCCUGUCAACUGGACAUUUGAUGAUCUUGGCAAAAGGGGAGGAGGGAUUGGAUUUGUUUCUCCUUUUAUUGUCUUUCUUUCUCAUUUCAUUCUCUUAUGCGUUGAGAUGGCACUAGGGCUUGUGGCAACUCAAGCCCUGAGAUGGCACUAAGCCUUGGCUUGUCUUUUUCUUGUAGGCAAGCACGUCGGCAGAAAUAUAUCUGCCCAUCUGAGCCAGGCAGUAAUAUGCUGUCCCUGGAUAAGUUAUAAGUCUAGCUCUUUUUGGUGAGAGAUUUAAGAACUGGC